GGGCAGGUACCGAAGCGGUCAAACGGGGCUGACUGUAAAUCAGCUGGCAUUCGCCUUCGGGGGUUCGAUUCCCUCCCUGCCCA
rnacentral:tRNA from 1 species